AUCAAUCUGUUUCAUGUAAAAACAAUCUGUUCUUUUUGCCUCUGGAAUACUGAAAAAUUGUGUGUUCUUGCGAAAAUUUUAUAAGCUCAAUUCACCCCUCCCCUCUUGAACUUAGACACUAAUAGACCCAACAAUUGGUAUCAAGAGCUAGGGCUUGUAUUUUGCUCAAGUGUGUGCAUGAUGUCUGAGUUUAAAAUGCCUUUUGC
rnacentral:lncRNA from 1 species